rnacentral:rRNA from 1 species
AUUACUCCUACGGGAGGCAGCAGUGGGGAAUAUUGCACAAUGGGCGCAAGCCUGAUGCAGCCAUGCCGCGUGUAUGAAGAAGGCCUUCGGGUUGUAAAGUACUUUCAGCGGGGAGGAAGGCGAUGCGGCUAAUAACCGCGUCGAUUGACGUUACCCGCAGAAGAAGCACCGGCUAACUCCGUGCCAGCAGCCGCGGUAAUA